rnacentral:rRNA from 1 species
AUUGAACGCUGGCGGCAGGCUUAACACAUGCAAGUCGAGAGGAGUGAUGGUGCUUGCACUAUCACUUAGCGGCGGACGGGUGAGUAAUGCUUAGGAAUCUGCCUAUUAGUGGGGGACAACAUCUCGAAAGGGAUGCUAAUACCGCAUAUGUCCUACGGGAGAAAGCAGGGGAUCACUUGUGACCUUGCGCUAAUAGAUGAGCCCAAGUCGGAUUAGCUAGUUGGUGGGGUAAAGGCCUACCAAGGCGACGAUCUGUAGCGGGUCUGAGAGGAUGAUCCGCCACACUGGGACUGAGACACGGCCCAGACUCCUACGGGAGGCAGCAGUGGGGAAUAUUGGACAAUGGGGGGAACCCUGAUCCAGCCAUGCUGCGUGUGUGAAGAAGGCCUUAUGGUUGUAAAGCACUUUAAGCGAGGAGGAGGCUCUUUUGGUUAAUACCCAAGAUGAGUGGACGUUACUCGCAGAAUAAGCACCGGCUAACUCUGUGCCAGCCGCCGCCGUAA